GACGAACGCUGGCGGCGUGCCUAACACAUGCAAGUCGAACGGGGCAGCAAUGCCCAGUGGCGAACGGGUGCGUAACACGUGAGGAACUUGUCCAUCGGCGGGGAGUAGCCGGCCCAACGGCCGGGUAAUACCGCGUACGUCGGCGAGACCGCAUGGUCUUGCCGGGAAAGCAGCAAUGCACCGAUGGAGAGCCUCGCGGCCUAUCAGCUAGUUGGUGAGGUAAUGGCUCACCAAGGCGACGACGGGUAGCUGGUCUGAGAGGAUGAUCAGCCACAUUGGGACUGAGACACGGCCCAGACUCCUACGGGAGGCAGCAGUGGGGAAUAUUGCGCAAUGGGCGAAAGCCUGACGCAGCGACGCCGCGUGUGGGAUGACGGCCUUCGGUUGUAACCACUGUCGCGAGGGACGAAG
rnacentral:rRNA from 1 species